rnacentral:rRNA from 1 species
UGGGGAAUUUUGGACAAUGGGGGCAACCCUGAUCCAGCAAUGCCGCGUGUGUGAAGAAGGCCUUCGGGUUGUAAAGCACUUUUGUCCGGAAAGAAAACGCCGUGGUUAAUACCCGUGGCGGAUGACGGUACCGGAAGAAUAAGCACCGGCUAACUACGUGCCAGCAGCCGCGGUAAUAUGUAGGGUGCAAGCGUUAAUCGGAAUUACUGGGCGUAAAGCGUGCGCAGGCGGUCCGCUAAGACAGAUGUGAAAUCCCCGAGCUUAACCUGGGAACUGCAUUUGUGACUGGCGGGCUAGAGUAUGGCAGAGGGGGGUAGAAUUCCACGUGUAGCAGUGAAAUGCGUAGAGAUGUGGAGGAAUACCGAUGGCGAAGGCAGCCCCCUGGGCCAAUACUGACGCUCAUGCACGAAAGCGUGGGGAGCAAACAGGAUUAGAUACCCCUGGUAGUCCACGCCCUAAACGAUGUCAACUAGUUGUCGGGUCUUCAUUGACUUGGUAACGUAGCUAACGCGUGAAGUUGACCGCCUGGGGGAGUACGGUCGCAAGAUUAAAAACUCAAAUGAAUUGAC